rnacentral:SRP_RNA from 1 species
GCCGGGCGUGGUGGCGCAUGCCUGUAAUCCCAGCUACUCAGGAGGCUGAGGCAGGAGAAUCACUUGAACCUGGGAGGCAGAGGUUGCAGUGAGCCAAGAUUGCACCACUGCACUCCAGCCUGGGUGACAGAGUGAGACUCUGUCUCAA